rnacentral:lncRNA from 1 species
GGUUCAGCCCCUAUGGUUCUUACUGGCGCCAUGUGCGCAAAAUCGCCACGGUGGAGCUCCUCUCUUCGCAUCGCAUAGACACUCUGAAGCACGUGAUGGAUGCCGAAGUGAAAGCAGCAAUGAGGGACAGUUACAGUUUGUGGUUGAAGAAGAAAGACGGCGGUUCUGAAAUGAAGAGGUGGUUUGGGGACAUAACAUUGAAUAUAAUGUUCAGGACGGUGGUAGGAAAACGUUUUGGCAGUGACGGCGGUGUGAAUGAAGAGAACGAACAGCUACGAAAGGCAUUGAGGGAGUUGUUUGAUCUGAGCGGUUCAUUCGCAGUUUCUGACUCUCUGCCAUAUCUAAGAUGGUUAGAUUUGGAUGGUAUCGAGAAGAAAAUGAAGAGAACGGCAAAAGAUUUAGAUGGGUUUGUUCAGAAUUGGCUUGAAGAACACAAACGCAACAGAGGUUGUGAUUUAGGUGAAGGAAAACAUAACCAGGACCUGAUGGACGUGCUUCUUGGGCUUGCCGAACAAGGCGAAGAGUUUGACGGUCAUGACCCUGAAACCACAAUCAAAGCCACGUGUCUGGUACGUCUCAACUUGUUACUUUUUUUCCUUACUUGUCACAUGCCUCACAAUUUUUUAUUAAUAAAAUAUUUUGACACAAAUAUUUUUACUGAUUUAUCAUCAAUAUAUUUUAAAUUUAAUGAAAAAAUAUAUAUCUAAAGUGUUAAAAUAUUAUUAAAAGAAUUGCAUUAACAUAUUAUUAUUUUUUAUAUUAAUUUGAUAUAACUUUUUCCUUUUUUUAAAAAUAAAUUAUUAAUAAAAUGACACAUAUUUAUAUUUAUUUGAUAUACAUUAAAAAAGAAAAUAGUUAUAAAAAAGAUAAAUUUUAAUAUUUUUAUAAAGAAAAAUAAAUGUAUAAAAUUUAUGUAUUAAAGUAUAAUUUCCGUACGUUCUUAAAAAUAUAAAAAAUUAUUCUUUUAUAAUAUUUUAAUCCGUGUGUCGAAUAUGACCAUGUAAAUGAAUCAUCCUACCAUUACUUUAAAGUAUUUAUAAUACAUUUACAAUCUGUUUUUCAAUGUAAAAGUAGAAGAGUAUGGUUGUGUAAUUUUCCAUUAUUUUAUCUAAUAUAAUACAUACAUAUUUAAAUUAUUUAAACGUUAAUAGCAUAUACAAGUAUGAUUAAAAAAUAGCAAUAAAUAUGUUCUUAAAAUUUGAAAUAAACAAAUUGAAAAACAAUUUUUAUUUUCUAUUUUAUUUUCUCAUUACUAGAAGAAGAUAAAUUUAUGAUAUUUUUCUCAUUUUUUUACUUUGUAGGCUUUAAUUUUGGCUGGUUCAGAUACGACAACAGGAACAUUAGUAUGGGCUCUCUCGUUACUUUUGAAUAAUCCUGAAAUUCUGAAAAAAGUGAUCUAUGAAUUAGAUAAAGAAGUUGGGAGUGAAAGGAUGGUAGAGAUGUCAGAUUUAAAGAAGCUAAAGUAUCUUCAUGCUAUCAUCAAAGAAACACUGCGUUUAUAUCCAGCAGCACCACUUGGUGUGCCACACGAGUCCAUGGAAAAUUGCACAGUGGGUGGAUAUCACAUAGCAUCGGGCACACGUCUUUUGACUAAUCUUUCAAAACUUCAAAGAGAUCCAUCUUUAUAUGAAAAUCCCCUUGAAUUUUGUCCAGAAAGAUUCUUAACAACCCACAAGGAAGUGGACGUGAAGGGUCAACAUUUUGAAUUGAUUCCAUUCGGUGCAGGUAGAAGAAUGUGUCCUGGGAUAUCUUUUGGUCUUCAAGCGAUGCAACUCACACUUGCUACCUUAUUGCAUGGAUUUGAUAUUGCAACCAUUGAUGGAAGACUUGUUGAUAUGGUUGAACAGAUUGGUUUAACCAACAUUAAAGCUUCUCCCCUCCAAGUCAUUCUUACUCCCCGACUAUCUUCUCAUAUUUAUGAAUAAUAAGCUUGUAGUUUAUUUAGCUAUUAAAAUGUGUAAGGAAUUGAAUUUAAUCAUACAAUAACACGAAUAAAUAAUCAUCACUGUUUUAACUACUUUUAUAUUUAAUUAUUUACUUAAUUUUCAUAUCUUUUCAUGUUCUUAUCCCAUUCGUAUCACUAUUUAUAUUAGUAAGAAAUUUAUAAUUAUAAAUGUGAAGAAAUUAAUUAUAGAGUAUAGUUUUUCGUUGAGUGAAAAUAAAUUAAAAAAAAAAUAGUGGUGACAUGGUCACAUAUUUUAUAUGAAUUCUUCUUUUUCGCUUCAAAUAUUUUAGUUGAUUUCUUUUUUUAUAUCAUAGAAAGUGGCACGGUAGCAGUUUUAUAAAUAUUAAAGUUGUCAAAAUCGGUCAUAAUUUGCGGGCCAACCUAGUCCACCAUUGGUUUGUACCGAGUUAUAUGAAUUCUUCUUUUUCGCUUCAAAUAUUUUAGUUGAUUUCUUUUUUAAUCAAAAUUUAAUCAUAAAUUAUAAUAAAGUGUUUAUUUUUCGGUGUUUCGUUUAUUCUAUUUAGUGAGAUUAUGGGAUCUAUUAUUAGAAUUCUUUCUACUUUUAUCUUUGAUUUUCUAAAUGAGAAAAUGCAUGAUAGAGAUUUCAAUUUUAUUAAAUUAUAAUUAUAAAAUGGAAUGUAAAUUAUAUUUUAAAAGUUUUUAUUAAAUAAUUCAACUUUGAUCGAUUAAUAAAAUAAUUUUGAUGAUUAAAAGUACAAAAUAUAUAAGACUUAAAAUAGUAUAUCACACCAGUGAAAAAUAUAUUUUUUAUAGCGAUUUCUUUAUACCUAUUCAAAUUUAGCAGGUAUAGAAAGUGGCGCGGUAGCAGUUUUAUAAAUAUUAGAGCUGUCAAAAUCGGUCAUAAUUCGCGGGCCAACCUAGUCCACCAUUGGUUCGUACCGGGUUAAGUUUGAAAAAAUUGCAUUUUUUUUAUGCGGGUCAGAUUUCAACCCGGCUCAUUUAAACCUGACUUAUGCGGAUUGAACUCGUGGUGAGCCGAGUUGGCCCAGCGACCCACCUACCUAAUUUUAUUUUAUUAAAAUAUAAUUUUAAUUUUAUAAAAAAAUAUUUAUUAUUAUUUUUGCUUGAAAAAAUUAUUUAGUUCCCUAUUUUCAAAAUUAAUUAAACAUCAUAGUGAAAUUUGGGAGUAAAAUUUGUUUAGAUUUGAAUUAUAAAAAAAUUGUAAUUUCUUUUAUUUUAAAAAAAUGUAAUUAAGUGGACUAAUGAGUCAAUCCGUUUACUCACCAACCCGUGGUGAGUCGGAGCAGGUUCAAAUUUUUCUGACCAACUAAUAAACAAGUCAUGUUGAGUUGUCUCACUAAAUGACCAACCCGUGAUAAACUGGAUCGAAUUACCUGUUUUAACAAGUCUAAUAAAUAUAGAAACUUUUUACACCGACUACAAUAAAAACAGGUAUGAAAAGUGGUAUGACAGUAAUAUUGUAAUAAAAUACAAUUGAAAAUUCAUUUUUCUUAUACAUGUUAAGACUAGAGAAGGUAUAAAUUAUUUGUCUAUACGAGUUAAAUAUCACAACAAAUAUCAAUUAUUUUACAUAUUCAAUUUGUUUUUCCCGAAUACUUUCUCUUCUGUGCAAAAAUUCAUCCCAAUUAUCAUUGUUUUUAAAAGGUAAAGUUAUUUUUAUAUAUACAAAAAUUUAAGAAUAUUUAUUAUAAGAGAACGUUGGAGUGAAAACUUUAUUUUAUAAAAUUAUUUUGUUACUACCUUUUAUUGUUUCGAUAUUUGGAAUCAAUUGACUUCUUAACCAGUUAUUGAUUAUCCAAUAUAUCUUAUUAGAGAGUGGAAAUUGUGGUCUAAACUUUCCUAACUUUUAUUAUGCCUUAAACCUUUUCUUCUUUGUUCCAUUUUCUUAAUCAAAAUAAGGUUUUAAAUUCUAAAUCUUAAAUUGAUCAUUAAUUAUGACGAAAAUCACCUUUUUGAAUGAAAGAAUUGAUUGUUUGAUACAGGACAUAUUAUACAUUUAUUUAUCAAAUUUUAUUUAGAUAUAUUUUGACAUUUUUCUAUCUAACAAAAUUGUUAAGAUUCAGUUUUUUCCUCAAUUUCAAGUUAUAAAAAUUGAUUAAAGUCGGAAGGAGACUCAAUUUUCACAAUGAAAAUUGCUUCUUUUUUUUUAAGUCGCAAGCACCUCGCACAACAUACAUUAAUUUCCUGUAUAGAAACGUUAGUCCACAUGACUUCUUUCUUCAAAUGCUACCCAUUCUAAUAAUAAAACUAAGAAUGUACACCCAUCUGUUAAAAAAACCAGAUAAACAUGUAACAAUUGCCACAACAGGAAGACAUACAUAUCUUGUUACACAUGGGAAUCACGAUAUUACAACCCAUGUGCCUGCUCAAUUAAUUAGUUCAGCCUUGUUGACACGUCUCUUCAACUUCUAUUAAACAAUUUGUCCUCUGCAGUUUUAUAGUAUUUUAGAGUGUUUAAACUUCCCCCAGGGUGGAGAUUUAAAAUAAAAACAAAAACAAAAGAAAUGGCUGGAUUCUGAAUGAUUUCAUGAAAACACAAUGGACAUAAAUUAGAGUAUAUAGACAAGGUGGGUUGGAUGGAAAUUAAAAUAAUGUUAUUACAUAUAUAGAAGGUUAUUUAUUUCAACUUUUUAUAAUUAUUACAAAUUGUUUUAUUCUGAAAAUAAUAUUUCUCUUAAAAUUAGUUUUUAUAUUUUUUUUAAAUGUCAUGUAAUUUCUUUUAUCAAACCGGGAGACUGUUUUAAGUAAUUUUAAUAAAAGAUGCAAUUUUAUUUCUCUCAACGUUAUUAUAUAUGUUUGUAGUAAAAUAAAAUAUAAUUUAUUUUCAUAAAAUUUCUAGAAUUUAAUCAUCUUUGCUUCUUCACAAAGUAAUCUUUAUUAAAAGAUUUAAAAGAUCAAAGUAUAACACGAGUAAUCAAAAUGCCGACAGAUUUAGCCCAAUAUAUAAUUUAAUUAAUAACAUAUCGUGACAUGACUUCCAACAAGUAGUAUAAAAGUCGUAUUUUACUUCAUAAUUUCAACAUGGUUCAGUUAACAAUAAAUAAAAUAUGAUUUUAAUGAAAAUAAAACCACAUUUUGAAAUGAACUUUCAUGUUUGAAGUUUUUUUGAGAAAUAAGCUAUAUCAAUUAGUAUAUUUUCUUUCUAAAAAUUGAUCUAUUUUAAUAGUUUUUUGUUUUAAAUAAUCACUCAGGUCAAAAGUUCUUAGUGUUUUUAACUUAAAUCUGGCUAGGACAUGAGUUUGGAUUGUUCGGAGGAGUCACGGGUAAAAGUUAUAACCUUUUGAUAAGGAUACUACUUCGUUAUAACUAAUUCAAUGAAUAAAUAAAAAUAUCGUCUUCAAAAAAAAAUUGAGUCACGUUAUUUAAUAGAUUUGUUUAACAAAAUUAAUUUAAUGACAAUGAAAAUUUGAUUAAUGUAAACUAAAGAUAAUGAAAUUAAUAAAAUAUUAAAAUUUGAAUUUAAAAGUUGAAAAUAAGCUUUGUUAGAAUUGAGUUAAUGAGUAAAUUUCUUAAAACAAAUUCUAAAGAUAUAUGUUUAAUUAUUGUAAUUAAAUGUAACCCUUGCAUUAAAAUCUUAUGUUUAUAAAUGAUCAAAAAAUUAAAACUAUUUCUAGCAUCGUUCCUUUUGGUUGUUUUUGUUAAGUUCAUAAUCAAAUUUACUUUAUAUAAAAUAUAUCAUACUUUCCUAUAAUGACAAGUAAAAGGAACACAAAUUUAUAUUCAAAAGGAAGAUUACAUAAAAUGUCAGUCAUUACAUUCAAUUCCAACGAAUGAAAGAAUUAGUUAUUCCUAGUCAUCUAGAACGUACACAUUUUUGUAAUCUCUUGUAUACAAUGUUGUCUGGAUGCCAUGAAAUAGUUUCCUGAAGUUUGCAAACUUUAUGGUUCUUUGCUCUAUGUCAGAAGUUCUCCAAAGAUCUCAUGCGCUAAACAAAUAUUCAAGUACAAUUCUUUAACAUAAAACAAUAAUUAGUUGUGUGAAUUAUUUCUAACUUAGCGAGAAAUGUAUGACAACACGCCACUUUGAUAUAUAAAUUUUUGUACAAUUUAUUACACACUUCCUUACUUUUAAUUACAACUUUUUAAUGAGAAAGUUACAAUUUGAACUCAUUAUUUAUAAACCUAAAAUCAAGUAUUUUCAUACUUAUAAAAAAAUUCUCCCAUUUAUUUUAUUAUUUUUUACUAAUAAUUUAUUUUAUAUUUUAAUUAAAUAUUCAAACUUUUUAUUAAGUUAUUUUAAAAAAUUGGUUUGUGAAAGAAGCAUCCUGAUGUGAUAUUAUAAAACAAUAAUUUCGUAGUAUCAUAUCAUAUGAUAUUUUUACAAUAAAGAUAAAAAAAUUUCCCCAGCUACAAUAAAUCAAUUGAACGCACCCAACCAAAUUCCUUUUGGUUUCAGUAUUUAUANACUACAAGAAGCAUAGUCCCAUAAUCAAUCAUCUGACCAAAAACAUUCUUGAAUACGAUGGCUUUCCACGAAAACCCUCUCGCGCAGUACACAGUACCACUUGCCAUCUCAUUCUUCUGUCUGUUGUUAUUUCUCUUCGUUUUUUCAUCUCUAUCCAGAAAGCCCAAAAACCACAGUGCAGCAACGAGAAAAGCACCACCAGAAGCAAGUGGCGCGUGGCCUUUGAUUGGCCACCUCCACCUCUUAGGGGGGUCGAAACCGCCACACGUUACUUUGGGCCANAUGGCCGACAAAUACGGUCCCAUCUUCACCUUGCGUCUGGGAGCUCACAAAACGCUGGUUGUGAGCGANUGGAAAAUGGCUAAAGAGUGCUUUACCGUCAACGACAGAGCUUUCGCUAGCCGUCCCAAAUCCAUGGCCUUUGAAUUGUUGGGCUACAACUUUUCCAUGAUUGGGUUCAGCCCCUAUGGUUCUUACUGGCGCCAUGUGCGCAAAAUCGCCACGGUGGAGCUCCUCUCUUCGCAUCGCNUAGACACUCUGAAGCACGUGAUNGAUGCCGAAGUGAAAGCAGCAAUGANGGACAGUUACANUUUGUGGUUGAAGAAGAAAGACGGCGGUUCNGAAAUGAAGAGGUGGUUUGGGGACAUAACAUUGAACAUUAUGUUCCGGACGGUGGUAGGAAAACGUUUUGGNAGUGACGGCGGUGUGAAUGAAGAGAACGAACAGCUACGAAAGGCAUUGAGGGAGUUGUUUGAUCUGAGCGGUUCAUUCGCAGUUUCUGACUCUCUGCCAUAUCUAAGAUGGUUAGAUUUGGAUGGUAUCGAGAAGAAAAUGAAGAGAACGGCAAAAGAGUUAGAUGGGUUUGUUCAGAAUUGGCUUGAAGAACACAAACGCAACAGAGGUUGUGAUUUAGGUGAAGGGAAACAUAACCAGGACCUGAUGGACGUGCUUCUUGGGCUUGCCGAACAAGGCGAAGAGUUUGACGGUCGGGACCCUGACACCACAAUCAAAGCUACGUGUAUGGUACGUGUCCACUUGUUAUUACUUUUAUUCCUUGCUUGUCACAUGGCUCACAAUUUUUUUUAAUAAUAAGUUAUUUUCACACAAUUUUUUUUAAUGAUUAAAUAUUUU